CAGUGUUGAAACACUGGUUCUUGUACAAUCACCAAUGUUAAGCAUUAUUGAGCCUAGUCAGUACCUAGUUGGGUGACCACUUGGGAAUACCAGGUGCUGUAAG